AAAGCGCACGUAGGCGGAUCUUUAAGUCAGGGGUGAAAUCCCGAGGCUCAACCUCGGAACUGCCUUUGAUACUGGGGAUCUUGAGUUCGGGAGAGGUGAGUGGAACUGCGAGUGUAGAGGUGAAAUUCGUAGAUAUUCGCAAGAACACCAGUGGCGAAGGCGGCUCACUGGCCCGAAACUGACGCUGAGGUGCGAAAGCGUGGGGAGCAAACAGGAUUAGAUACCCCUGU
rnacentral:rRNA from 1 species